GAAAUGCGAUAAGUAGUGUGAAUUGCAGAAUUCAGUGAAUCAUCGAAUCUUUGAACGCACAUUGCGCCCCUUGGUAUUCCAUGGGGCAUGCCUGUUCGAGCGUCAUUUGUACCUUCAAGCUCUGCUUGGUGUUGGGUGUUUGUCUCGCCUCUGUGCGCAGACUCGCCUCAAAACAAUUGGCAGCCGGCGUAUUGAUUUCGGAGCGCAGUACAUCUCGCGCUUUGCACUCAGAACGACGACGUCCAAAAGUACAUUUUUUACACUCUUGACCUCGGAUCAGGUAGGGAUACCCGCUGAACUUAAGC
rnacentral:misc_RNA from 1 species